AGCAGCCGCCGCGGUAAUACAGAGGGUGCGAGCGUUAAUCGGAUUUACUGGGCGUAAAGCGUGCGUAGGCGGCCUUUUAAGUCGGAUGUGAAAUCCCUGAGCUUAACUUAGGAAUUGCAUUCGAUACUGGGAAGCUAGAGUAUGGGAGAGGAUGGUAGAAUUCCAGGUGUAGCGGUGAAAUGCGUAGAGAUCUGGAGGAAUACCGAUGGCGAAGGCAGCCAUCUGGCCUAAUACUGACGCUGAGGUACGAAAGCAUGGGGAGCAAACAGGAUUAGAUACCCCUGUAGUCCCUGUCUCUUAUAC
rnacentral:rRNA from 1 species